rnacentral:rRNA from 1 species
UAGCGUAGGGGGCAAGCGUUGUCCGGAUUUAUUGGGCGUAAAGCGCGUGUAGGCGGCCCGGUAAGUCCGCUGUGAAAGUCGGGGGGCUCAACCCUCGGAUGCCGGUGGAUACUGUCGGGCUUGAGUACGGAAGAGGCGAGUGGAAUUCCUGGUGUAGCGGUGAAAUGCGCAGAUAUCAGGAGGAACACCGAUUGGCGAAGGCAGCUCGCUGGGACGUUACUGACGCUGAGACGCGAAAGCGUGGGGAGCAAACAGG